rnacentral:rRNA from 2 species
AGAAUCAACGCUGGCGGCGUGCCUCAGACAUGCAAGUCGAACGCGAAAGUCCCCUUCGGGGGCAAGUAGAGUGGCGCACGGGUGAGUAACACGUAGGUAAUCUACCUUUGGAUGGGGAAUAACAACCGGAAACGGUUGCUAAUACCGCAUAAUGCAGCGGCACCUAAUGGUGACAGUUGUUAAAGCGGGGGAUCGAAAGACCUCGCGUCUAAAGAGGAGCCUGCGGCGGAUUAGCUAGUUGGUAAGGUAAUGGCUUACCAAGGCUACGAUCC